CUACUCAUUUUUCAGGCUGAGGAUGGAUAAAUUGAUGGUCCCUCACUAAAUGGAAACAUGUUUUUCCCUUCAAGAGAUUUGUAUUUAUCCAACUUGUUUCUUGAAAGAAGACAAAAAUGCCAGAAACAAAGAUCAGAACUGAAGCGAUUUGUUUGUCUGGCUGCAGACUCACCCUGCCUUCAAAGUACAAUAUAUUUGUGUGGUCAGAUUGUCAGGUUCUACUCAUUAAAAAAACAAGUUCUUACUUUCUCAUGAACUCUCUUCUGGAUGAAACGUUAGAAUGAAUUCCAUUACGCUCAUCUUGUGCAGGAAUGAUCAAGGAGGCUGAUAUGUCAUUGGAGAGCAGGAGAGAGGUCACACAUGAAGCACGUCUUGUAUACUGCCUUGAAUUGAAGCUUCCCUGCUGCUCUGCCAGGCUAGUGGCUUUUCUGCACAGAAUUAGCUUCAGGCAGUGCCUUCAGAGAAGCCAGGUUAGCAUGACAGCUUGGCUAGAAGAAGGCAAAAAUCUUGAAAUAUGGCAGGAGAACUGAAAAAACUGAUAAGGGAAAGAACUUAUGGGAAGAGAAGAUAGAAAACAGAUAAAUCUGGAGAGGGGGAAGGCAGUCAUAAAAGGUCAGUAAAAUGCACGAUGGAGGAAGAUAGGACACAAUCUUUCAAUGUUUAAAGAACUUUUUUUAUACAUGUGAUAAUUAUGGCUACAUAAGCUGGUCUUAUGCAGCUAGAUUCUUUUCCCAGGAAACCUUUGAACUAUUUAAAUGUCUUAUUUUAUUUUUAUUUUUGGAUACUUUUCAGAGCUACUUAUUCGAAGAUCUCAGGCAACCUGUGAGUGAUAGUACUAAGGAAAUGUCAAGUGGCUAACAAAAUGGCCAGACAGCAUGGAUUCCUUGUGUUUAAUGGGACAUACCUGUCCCAGUCUGCUUUCAAUUCAGUUGUUAUGGUGAAGACAUGCAAAUCUGAAGAGGAAUCAGCAUCUUUCCUACCUCCUGAUGCCAUUCUCCCUGGGGGAGGAGGGAAAGAAUACAGACCCGUUUAUUUCAAAUAUCCCUCUUCUGAGGUGUUCUCCUAGAAUCUUAAAGUAUUUUCAUAUAUCUCUUUAACCAUGGUUUCACUUUUUCCUUGAAAUCUCAUUUAAGAGUGAUGGGUAAUUCUUAUUUGCUAUUUCUAUUUAGUAAUUCUUUACAUGCUUCGUAGUGAAGGUGAGGAUGAGUCUUAUUUUACAGUAGGGAAGGUGAGGUUGAAAGAGGCAAGAUAGUGUUGACCCUGUGGUCCUACUGUACCUGACUGGAAGUUUCCAGUAGGAAGUGUUCAGAGGUUGUUUGCCCAAGGUAGCAGAGGAGUGAGUGGUUAGAACAGCUGCCUGCCCUCUGUUUGCCUGCUCAUCAAAACUGGCCAGCUGAUGUGCUGCAAAUAUUCCUGAUGCAGGAGUGUUGUGUCCUGCUGGCUGUGGCCCACCACACACAGUCAGUCCCUUUGUGCACUUCAUUCAGCACUAGGCACAGGUGAGGCCGGGAUGCUCCCAUGUCAGUCCUGCACCUGAGGAUGUAUGGGAGGAAGCACUGUUUCUCAACACAGGAAAAGGCAUGGACAUUUCAGGGCAGUUUUUAAAAAUUCUUCUGGUGUUGCUUUUUGCAUUGUACCAUUCACGACAGAGCCCAGUUCUCAUAGGCAGGAGAGUGAAAGCGUUUCUAAGCUUCUCUCUGUCACAUCAUCUUGUCAGGAGAAUCUCUAAUAGCUAUUUUUUGUUCUCACAUUGGUUGAGUCAAAUCCAUUCCAUUCCAAAUUACUGCUCUGACAUUCAAACCUUUCAGGCAGACUGCCAGUUGUAGCACCUUAUUUUUCUGUUAGAAAAAGAGAAAAAAAAUAAACCACUGACAUGUAAUUAACAGAGCCAGAUUGAAUUUGAAAUCUGAAUGACACCCAUUAUUGAAUAAAGAGCUUCAAAUCCUUUGUUACAAGUCUUUUAACAUAGCAAUGGUAUCGAAAGAUUCAGAGAGGAUAGGAACUUGUUUUGCCUAACGUUGAUUCUGUAUGUGGACAAAUGCUCUUGUGUGUUGUUUCAUUAAAGGCAGACCUCUACAGGGCACGGGAAGCCUUGGAACAAAAUGGCAAAGAAAACUGGGUAGAAGGGAGCCUAUGCAGCAGUAAGACACCAAACACUCAGAAGUCCCAAGUUCUGUUUGCAGGCAUUGAGCUGAGCCCUGUGCAAGUGCUGCCUGUAUGGCUGUCCUGGCACCAGAAGUGCCACAUAGCUGCUGGGCAGGCUGCAAGUGGGAAGGUGAGUGUGGAGCCAUGAACUGUGCUUCUGCAAGUGUUGCACUUACGCUGGCCUUAGGGCUGUUAGACAUCUGUGGGAUAUAUGAGGUCUCUGACCGUUGUGCUGCACCUAGUUACAGUAAUGGAAGGAGGGGAGGGAAGAGAUUAAAACC